AUGCCUUCGCUCCGCGCUUCAUUGUACGCGGAUGAUGUGGCUCUUUUUAUCAACCCGGUGAAGACGGAGGUUGCAGCCCUGCGCGCGAUCCUCGCGGCGUUUGGAUUGGCCUAUGGGCUCAAGGUCAACUUCCAAAAAAGUGCCGUGCUUCCCAUCCGUUGUGAGCACCUUGAUGUGGUCGACAUCGUGUCGCCACUGGAGGCAAGGGUAGCUAGUUUCCCAUGCAAGUUCCCGGGUCUAUCACUCUCGCUGCGCUCGCUUCGCAAGUUGGAGCUGCAACUGCUCCUGGACAAGCUGCGUGCCCGCCUUGCCUGUUGGAAGGCUAGGCUGCUGACCCUUGCGGGUAGACUGGUGCUCCUCAACUCGGUGCCGUCAGCGUCCACGGUCUACUGGCUGGCCGUGUUUGCCUUGCCAUCUUGGGCGCGCAAGGAAAUCGAUCGGUUGCGCCGUGCAUGGCUAUGGCAUGGUGAGGAAACGUACCAUGGGGGGCACUGCAAAGUGGCAUGGGGGCGCGUGUGCCGACCACGGGAGUUGGGUGGUCUGGGCAUCAUCGACUUGGACCGGUUUCGGGUGGCCCUUCGCCUGCGAUGGCUCUGA
rnacentral:rRNA from 1 species